GGGGGAAGGAUCCUGUGUGUGUCUCUCUCCCUCUCAGAACAAAAUGCCGACCGGAAGUGCAGCUGCAGGAAUGACUCCCUCCACCGGCGCCAAACACCAACAGCCUCCCCCUUCCCUCUGCUGCUGCUGCCUCCUUCUCGUUCACUCAGCCAGCCAGCCCUGUUUCCGCCACCGCCACUGCGUUCCUCCCCUCCCUGCAACACACAGCAGCUGGAGCUUCUCCGUCUGCCUCGUCUCGCCUCUCGGCUGCCACAGCUGAUGUCCCUCUCCGUCUCUAUCUCUCCUUUUCUCCACCCUUCCUCUGCCUCCGAGUUUCUCUUUCUUUUCCCUUUAUCAUCUAGAUGAAUCCGACUGGAGUUUGCACUUAGGCCUGCGCUAAGCAGAAGGGAACCUGCGAUCUGUGAAGAGGGCACCAUUUGAAAGAAGAUUUUCUUUUAAUGUUGAUGAGAAGGAAGACUUUAAAUGACUGCAAAAUCCUUCCUCGCAUGAGAUACUUGAAAAGGUGCAUUAAAAUGAAUCCCAAAAGAAGGCAAUCUUCCCGUCCCGAAUGACUUAGCAGACCUUGGAAACUUGCUGGAUCUUAUUUUAUUGUUGUUCUUGUCCGUGUGUGUUAAGAUGCUGUUGUAGCCGGAUUUGAAACAUCAGAUGCUGAGAAUGUUGCUGUGUAUGGAUGAGGAUGGUAACCGAAUAAUUGAUUUUUAAAAUCAGCCUUCUUGAGCAAGUGCAGAGGAGGGGAGAGACUGCUGUUGAAGUGAAGGCUCCUUGGCUGGAAAUUGAAAUGUUUGUUGCCAGAUUUUCCUAGAAAAGACUUUACUAGGCUAAUUAUGUGUUGUGAAGGAAUCUUUGGCGAAGGCAACAGCCCUAGUCAGAAGGCUUUUCUGUUCGGGCAUUGUGUGUGAUCAUACCAUAGGAUAGUACGAAGUGUGUGUCGUUCAUUUAUGCUGGGUUAACCGCCUCCUUUUUGCUCACUAUUGAGAUUCCGAUCCUGCAGUCCUUAUUCAGACAAGACUCCAGCUGAUGUCAAUAGGUGUCUUGUUUGAGUAAGGAUUGCAGGAUUGGACCAUACAAUUGGACAGUAAGUACCUGUAAAUGUCGUGGAAUGCAUCCAUUCGGCUAUGGAUAGAGGUAGUUUACACAUGGGAGAAAUGCCUUCCAGAUCAUGACAUUGCUCUUGCAUGCAAUGCAACUGGAUCCUCUCUGACCUCUAUGUGAUGAUUGCUUGAAUAAUACCAGGUAUGUCUCCACCACCGUUUCAAAAACGUGGCUGUCCCUCUCAAAUUGAAAACAAGUUCAUAGUGUCAGAGUGGAAUAUAAUGUUUUUAAAAACUACAUAUUUUUGGGUGAAGGCAGUAGGAGGGAUAUCUUACUUUAGUGCUGUAUUGAUGAUACUAAUUUCAUAUGGAUAAACGUGUAUAAGUUUAAAGGACAGACAACUUAAACCCCACUUUUGUCUGAAAUUUGUUAUCUACACUUGUUCCACAUAACCAUUUAGGCCCUGAUCCUGCAAAUGCUUAUGCAUCACGUAAUUAGGGUGACCAGAUGUCCCGAUUUUAUAGGGACAGCCCCGAUAUUUGGAGCUUUUUCUUAUAUAGUCACCUAUUACCCCCACUUGGGAAAACUCAUUUUAUUACAUUAGAUCUGCAUCAGAAAAGUAAUUAAAGGAUUGGAAGCAACGGUUGUUUUGGAUACUAUUGUUAUAACAUGAUAGAUUCAGAAUUACUGUAAAAUUAAGCUCAAGUAAAAACUAAAUAUAUUUUACUUAUCUAGAAGCAAUUGGAUAUAAAGGUUAUUACAGUAAAAAAAGUAAGGUCUUGAUCCUGCAAUCAGAUCCAUACAAGUAGAUCUCUGUAGUCCAUUGUCUUUAUUGGACUCCAUGUUCAACUAUAAGUAUCGGGUCAUAUAUGUCUACAGAACAAUUUAUUAUACAUAGAUUCAUCAUGUUAUAUGAUUGAUGUCCAGGAGGAAGAAAGAUUAUGGUGUCAUGAAAGUUAUAAAAACAAAAUGUUACAACAAAAGUGAAUUGCAGGUGAUAAGUCUGCAAAAGUUUUACGCCUCAUCCUGCUUCCUUUGAAGUCAGUGGAAGGCGGUUAAGUCUACAUCUUUUCCUCUAAAUGACAAAUGUGUGGCUAUUAUCACUGUAAAUCUAAGAUCAUCAUCACUCUAAAUGGGCACACUUCUUUAAUUUUCUGAUUACCUGUUAGAAUGAAUAAAAUAACUAUGCACUGUAAUUUUUCCAUUUGUUUUUACAGGAUCUGGUGUAACAAUAUCCAUUCAAGUUUUCCCUCAUUUUAAGUUCUGUAUGGUGUACUCUAGUAAUGGAUAGAGCACUGGAGUGGGACUCAGGAGACCUGGAUUCUAUUCCUGGCUCUACCACUGGCCUGUUGGGUGACCUUGGUUAUAUUACAGUAAUGCUUAGGAGCCCUAACCAGGAUUGCAUCCAUUCUGUUAGCCAGUGUACAAACAUAAGAAGACACAGUCCCUGGCCUGAGGAGACUCCAAACCACUGCAGCCAGACUGACCCAUCUGUUCCUUGGAGCUUGUCUAUAAAAAGGGGAGAGAGACGUCCCUUAGAAUUUUAC